rnacentral:lncRNA from 10 species
UUCAGGGAUGUAUGCAAUGUUAAAAGCAAAUGAAACAAGGAGAAUAUUAAUAUUGAUUAUUGAAAGGUUUCAGGUAUUCAGUUUCAACUAUUGUGCUUACAUGGGAUUUCCCUUAAGCUUUCAUUCAAUAUUAGUUAAAACAAUAAUUAUUUUCCAAUGAUAUUAUUCUACAGUUUAAAAUUCUGACACCUUUUCUAAGAAUCAAUCCAUUUUCAAAUUCCAAAAACAGGAAUUGCUCAGAAGAGAUGUAGCCUGUGGCAAAAUCAGUAAAAACAACUGAAAUAAAGACAUCUAAAGGCAAAAAUAAAGCCUUUGACAGAUCACACUUUCACCAGCUUCUCCACAAUUAGAGAAGGGUUUGGUGUUCACAGUGUAUCUACUUCAUGACAAACAAACUUGUGGAGGACCUUUGGCCACAUCUUGGGAAAAGAACAAAAUAGUAAGGAAUAAAUUUAAUAAAAAUGUAACACUUAUACUCUGAAAACCUCGCUAGCAUGUUAACUUCCUCCUACCAUGACCAUUCUUGAACUUGUGACCCACUGUGUUGACUCAUCCCUUUACUUU